rnacentral:rRNA from 1 species
AGCUUGACACUGAACAUUGAGCCUUGAUGUGUAGGAUAGGUGGGAGGCUUUGAAGCGUGGACGCCAGUCUGCGUGGAGCCGACCUUGAAAUACCACCCUUUAAUGUUUGAUGUUCUAACGUGGACCCGUAAUCCGGGUUGCGGACAGUGUCUGGUGGGUAGUUUGACUGGGGCGGUCUCCUCCUAAAGAGUAACGGAGGAGCACGAAGGUUGGCUAAUCCUGGUCGGACAUCAGGAGGUUAGUGCAAUGGCAUAAGCCAGCUUGACUGCGAGCGUGACGGCGCGAGCAGGUGCGAAAGCAGGUCAUAGUGAUCCGGUGGUUCUGAAUGGAAGGGCCAUCGCUCAACGGAUAAAAGGUACUCCGGGGAUAACAGGCUGAUACCGCCCAAGAGUUCAUAUCGACGGCGGUGUUUGGCACCUCGAUGUCGGCUCAUCACAUCCUGGGGCUGAAGUAGGUCCCAAGGGUAUGGCUGUUCGCCAUUUAAAGUGGUACGCGAGCUGGGUUUAGAACGUCGUGAGACAGUUCGGUCCCUAUCUGCCGUGGGCGCUGGAGAACUGAGGGGGGCUGCUCCUAGUACGAGAGGACCGGAGUGGACGCAUCACUGGUGUUCGGGUUGUCAUGCCAAUGGCACUGCCCGGUAGCUAAAUGCGGAAGAGAUAAGUGCUGAAAGCAUCUAAGCACGAAACUUGCCCCGAGAUGAG